AUUGAACGCUGGCGGCAUGCCUUACACAUGCAAGUCGAACGGCAGCACGGGGGCAACCCUGGUGGCGAGUGGCGAACGGGUGAGUAAUGCAUCGGAACGUGCCCAGUAGUGGGGGAUAACCCGGCGAAAGCCGGGCUAAUACCGCAUACGACCUACGGGUGAAAGCGGGGGACCGUAAGGCCUCGCGCUAUUGGAGCGGCCGAUGUCUGAUUAGCUAGUUGGCGGGGUAAAGGCCCACCAAGGCGACGAUCAGUAGCUGGUCUGAGAGGACGACCAGCCACACUGGGGCUGAGACACGGCCCAGACUCCUACGGGAGGCAGCAGUGGGGAAUUUUGGACAAUGGGCGCAAGCCUGAUCGAGCCAUGCCGCGUGCGGGAAGAAGGCCUUCGGGUUGUAAACCGCUUUUGGCAGGAACGAAACGGCGCAAGCUAAUACCUUGCGCUAAUGACGGUACCUGCAGAAUGAGCACCGGCUAACUACGUGCCAGCCGCCGCCGUAACAC
rnacentral:rRNA from 1 species